UUGUGCAAUUUUGUUUAGCAGCAAUCGUGGAGUGUUUUACUUGAUCAUCGUUGGCGUGAUUUUGGGUGUUAAUGGUAUCUACGGUGGCGGUUCGCUGGUGUAGUCAUGGACCUUGCAUUUUUCCAGAAUUUCUUGCAAAUGGGUCCUUGGACGAUAUGACUAAGAAUCUGAGUGCAGGUACAGUUUUUGCGUGAUCGAUUUCAAAACAACACUGGGAAAUUGCCUUUUCAUCAUCCAGGAUUUUUUCGGAUAAAGUAAAACAAGAAAUCGAAGAUUGUGCAGCUGAUUUUGUAGACGAUCACGAAUGGACUCAGUAGUGUUAGAAAUGUCCACACCGGAAGUCCAGAGCGGACGUGACAAGCUGCAGAGAGCGCCGCGGGACGCCAAUGCUGCUGCCAAGGCUGGUUAUUGCAUCUUCCACACGUUU